UUAAAUUGAAGAGUUUGAUCAUGGCUCAGAUUGAACGCUGGCGGUAGGCCUAACACAUGCAAGUCGAACGGUGACAGGAAGCAGCUUGCUG
rnacentral:rRNA from 2 species